rnacentral:rRNA from 1 species
GAUGAACGCUAGCGGCAGGCUUAACACAUGCAAGUCGAGGGGUAGAGGAAGCUUGCUUCCUUGAGACCGGCGCACGGGUGCGUAACGCGUAUGCAACCUACCUUUUACAGAGGGAUAGCCCAGAGAAAUUUGGAUUAAUACCUCAUAGUAUAUAGUCUUCGCAUGUUGACUAUAUUAAAGUUCCAACGGUAAAAGAUGGGCAUUCGUCCUAUUAGCUAGAUGGUAAGGUAACGGCUUACCAUGGCAACGAUAGGUAGGGGUCCUGAGAGGGGGGACCCCCACACCGGUACUGAGAAACGUACCCGAAUCCUACGGGAGGCAGCAGUGAGGAAUAUUGGACAAUGGGCGCAAGCCUGAUCCAGCCAUGCCGCGUGCAGGAAGAAGCAUCUAUGGUGUGUAACCGGCUUUUGUACAGGAAGAAACACCCCGACGUGUCGGGACUUGACGGUACUGUAAGAAUAAGGAUCGGCUAACUCCGUGCCAGCAGCCGCCGUAAGAC